CAUGCGCACCUUGCGGCAAGUGAAUGCAGGCGUUUGUUGAGCAGCGGGAGAGACGAAGUAGUUUCUAGCCUUUUCUUCUAGCACUUUAAAUCUCCGGCUUUACCCGUGAGCUGUCAUAUUAUUCAGCGACAUUGUAGUGGACUCUGUCUGAAUAAACCUCACUUUUAAUAAUGCCGCGUGGUGGGAAAAAGGGCCACAAGGGCCGAAGUAAGCAGUUCAGCAACCCUGAGGAGAUUGAUCGACAGAUGAAAGCCCAGAAAGAGCUGGAGGAAAAUCCUGGUGCAGAGAAAGAAAGCUCUGCGGAGUCAGAUGAGGACAGCAGCAGUGAGGAGGAGUCUGACUCCAGGAAGAGGAGUGGAGUGGAGGGGCUCAUACAAAUUGAGAAUCCCAACCGUGUGUCUCAGAAGAGCAAGAAGGUAACGGAAUUAGACGUCAGUGCUCCCAGAGAGCUGUCUCGCAGAGAGAGAGAGGAAAUAGAGAAGCAGAAAUCAAAGGAACGCUACAUGAAGCUUCACCUUGAGGGUAAAACUGAACAGGCCAGGGCUGACCUGGCCAGACUGGCCAUCAUCAAGAAACAGAGGGAGGAAGCUGCUAAGAAGAGAGAUGAACUCAGGAAAGUAGGUUAAGAGAAGAAGUGAAGAACAAGAGAGUCAGGAUUUGCCUUGUUGGCAUCAUUCAUUCGCUGCUCUGCUUGAAAAAGAAGCUGAAGAAGCCAAAGCAAAGCGCUAGAUGUCCAGCUCAAAGCUUCCACAUGCACUUCAGUCUUAGAGGGAUGGAGGGAGAAGGAGAUCUGGAGGAGAACGGGGAGGGGACCAACACGAAUGGUGUCUGAUCAGGACUGCUCCUGAACUCCUGUCCCUCAUUUCAAAUCAGGGGGUGUGGAUCUUCCACAACAGUGUGGUGAGGACAGAGAAAACAGGUGGAGCAAAGCAAGGUGAAGAGGAAUGCAACAUUUGGGAUGCCUCAGGUCUUCUUUAAAAUUCCUUGAAGGUUCAAGAGGAGACAACCACAGGUUUUCCAAGUGCUUCACAGCCUCUUUAUUUUUCCCCACCAACCAGGGUUUUAAUUCUAAAGCUGCUGAAAUUAUUUCCAUUCCUUCUGAUUUAUACAUUUUUACAAACCUUAUACAAGUUUUACUGGACAGAUAUUACAUUGAGCAUGCAUGAUUUGUUUGGUGCUUUUUACCCCUAUUUGUUUUGUAAGAAGUCAAAGAACAUUAUUCAACUGAUAUAUAGAAAGUAUUCACUAUUUUCCUCUGUAUUUAAGUUCAUCAUGCUGCACCACAGCUAUCAAAUUCACUGACAGUUGGGUGAAUAUGUUGUAUACGAUCUUUCCCCUUCCUCCCCCCCACAAUCUGAGCAAAACCAGUUGUCAGUUCAAAGGUGUUUCCAGAUGUUUUCUGUAAUCUUUUGCUUGCAUUCUAAGGUUGUUUAACAUCAGUGCUGGAAAGCGCAGUCUCAAACCGCCUCACUAACUGUUCUUGUGCCCUGUUUCCGAUGAGAUCUUCUGUAGGUGUCUGGGAGAGAUUGUGUCUUCUGUUGCCUUUUUUUUUAAAGUUUGCACAAGACCAACUCACUGUCUUUCUCCUGUGAUUAUAGUGCUACAAUCAACCUACACAGGGUUGGUUUAUUAGGUACACGUACAAUCCACCACUAUGCAUCAGCAACACUAACAACACUCUCUAAAUUACCAGACAGCAACUCUUUGCUCACAGUGUGAACAAAAACUAAAUAUCAAUUCGACCAAGAGAGGACUCACAUUGGUAAUGUUAAGACUUCACAGUGGUACAGAAUAAACUAUUAACUCAGUAUGCGGAGGAUUUGGGAUGGCCUUGACCAGGAAAACAAUAUUCCCUAUAAAAUGGAAGCAGUUCACUCAACAAGCUGUUGGAUCCACAAAGUAUAAGCAAUGUAGUUAAAUUUUCCAUCUUGUAUUUGAAGAAAUUUUUAAAAAUAAAAUCAUCAAUAAAUA